ACGAACGCUGGCGGCGCGCCUAACACAUGCAAGUCAAGCGAUGAACAUUCAUUGAUCCCUUCGGGGUGAUUUGAAUCGGAUUAGCGGCGAACGGGUGAGUAACGCGUGAGGAACCUGCCUCUCACAACGGGAUAGCCUCGGGAAACCGGGAUUAAUACCGUAUGACACCAUUUUCCGGCAUCUUGAAAUGGUUAAAGUGCUAGCGGUGAGAGAUGGCCUCGCGUCUGAUUAGUUAGUUGGUGGGGUAACGGCCUACCAAGACGACGAUCAGUAACCG
rnacentral:rRNA from 1 species